UACGUAGGGGGCAAGCGUUGUCCGGAAUUAUUGGGCGUAAAGCGCGCGCAGGCGGUCAUUUAAGUCUGGUGUUUAAUCCUAGGGCUCAACCCUAGGUCGCACUGGAAACUGGGUGACUUGAGUACAGAAGAGGAAAGUGGAAUUCCACGUGUAGCGGUGAAAUGCGUAGAGAUGUGGAGGAACACCAGUGGCGAAGGCGACUUGCUGGACCGUGACUGACGCUGAGGCACGAAAGCGUGGGUAGCAAACAGG
rnacentral:rRNA from 1 species